GAUGAACGCUAGCGGCAGGCCUAAUACAUGCAAGUCGAACGGUGUCUUCGGACAUAGUGGCGCACGGGUGCGUAACACGUAUGCAACCUACCUUACAUUGGGGGAUAGCCUUUCGAAAGGGAGAUUAAUACCGCAUAAGACAGUAGCUGGGCAUCCAGCAGCUGUUAAAGAUUUAUCGAUGUAAGCUGGGCAUGCGUCCAAUUAGCUAGUUGGUGAGGUAACGGCUCACCAAGGCAAUGAUUGGUAGGGGAACUGAGAGGUCAAUCCCCCACACUGGCACUGAGAUACGGGCCAGACUCCUACGGGAGCCAGCAGUAGGGAAUAUUGGGCAAUGGACGCAAGUCUGACCCAGCCAUGCCGCGUGCAGGAUGAAGGCGUUAUGCGUUGUAAACUGCUUUUAUACAGGAAGAAACGACUCUUGCGAGAGGCAUUGACGGUACUGUAUGAAUAAGCACCGUCUAACUCCGUGCCAGCCGCCGCAGUAAGAC
rnacentral:rRNA from 1 species